CCUCGGGCGGCAGCAGUGGGGAAUAUUGGACAAUGGGGGGAACCCUGAUCCAGCCAUGCCGCGUGUGUGAAGAAGGCCCUCGGGUUGUAAAGCACUUUCAGUGAGGAAGAACGCCUGGAGGUUAAUACCCAUCAGGAAAGACAUCACUCACAGAAGAAGCACCGGCUAACUCCGUGCCAGCAGCCGCGGUAAUACGGAGGGUGCGAGCGUUAAUCGGAAUUACUGGGCGUAAAGCGCGCGUAGGUGGCUUGAUAAGCCGGUUGUGAAAGCCCCGGGCUCAACCUGGGAACGGCAUCCGGAACUGUCAAGCUAGAGUGCAGGAGAGGAAGGUAGAAUUCCCGGUGUAGCGGUGAAAUGCGUAGAGAUCGGGAGGAAUACCAGUGGCGAAGGCGGCCUUCUGGACUGACACUGACACUGAGGUGCGAAAGCGUGGGUAGCAAACAGGAUUAGAUACCCUGGUAGUC
rnacentral:rRNA from 1 species